UACAGAGGGUGCAAGCGUUAAUCGGAAUUACUGGGCGUAAAGCGUGCGUAGUCGGUUAUCUAAGUCGGAUGUGAAAUCCCCGGGCUCAACCUGGGAAUUGCAUUCGAUACUGGAUAGCUAGAGUUCGGCAGAGGGAAGCGGAAUUUCGGGUGUAGCGGUGAAAUGCGUAGAUAUCCGAAGGAACAUCAGUGGCGAAAGCGGCUUCCUGGACCAGAACUGACGAUCAGGCACGAAAGCGUGGGGAGCAAACAGG
rnacentral:rRNA from 1 species